CAAUACUUAAACUAAACCCCCCCUUGACAUCAGAGGACAUGGUCUGCUCCAACAAGCUGGCUUCAGCAGAAGAGUCCUGUUUGGCCUUAGCCACACCUUUUGCUCAAACCAGGAAGUGCCAUCCCCCACAGUCAGAUGUGGCCAAGCAUGACUGGAGGGGAAUCUCAGAGCGGAGGAAGUGAUGCAGUCUACACAUGAGAUUCUGAAGAGGCAGAAAAAGAAUGACGAAGAGGAAGAUGCUGACUAUUUCCUGAAACGAAGCCAAUAAGACAACCCUGAGUCAUGUUCAGCCUCUCUAAGAAUGACACAGCAUCUCGAUUUUCACCAAAGUGCAUCAGGUGACCAAAAGAAACGGUACACAGCAGACUGGCACAAGAGAUGAACUCAACAAGCACUGUCUAUGAUUCAUACUAUGGGAAAAAAAUAGACCUCUGCAGCUCCCUGUGGACUUCUUUGAAAUCCACCAUAGGAUACUGUGUCGUCUCCUGGUUCUGCUUCCGGGCCUCCAGUCCUGCUUCUGGUCCAAGAGGGGCUGCACAGGAUGGAAAACCAGAUCCUGAAACAGGUGGCCAUUCGAUCCCCGAGAAGUUGACCCUCUUUUGAACAACUUACCAUUGAAGAGUGGGGCGAUGAGAAGCACAGCUAAAGCCAGCAUUUUGCAGAGCGCGUCUGUUCUCUGUGCAGAUGAUGUUGCCAUUCUGGUCCUGAGUGCGCACACGUCCGACGGGUGUGUGUGAAAAGAAGGUGGGAAAGAAAAGGGUGAAGCUGCUUGAGCCGGAGCACUUUAGGGUUUCCUCUUACCCAGAGCGGGACAGGGUGGAUAAAGCAGCACUUGUGUUCUGUCAGUUUUUAUACUGCCCCCCCCUCCCCUAUCCUCCUUCGCCUCCUCCCUUACUGAGGCCCUGCCCUACACCCCGUCUUCCACUGGUUACUUUAACCCUUCCUAUGUGCCCCCACCCUCCUAAAAGAAGCAGAUGGAGGGAAGGAGGAAAAUGGGUUCUUGUUGGGAUGUAUUUAACAAAAAAAGGCUGUUAGCAGCAUUCCUGGAAUACCUGUCAAUGUUCACAUUUACAGUAUAUACAUAUAAAUUAAACAUGCGGCCUCAUUCAUCACAUGGACUCAGCAGACGUUUUCCUCCAACAUCAGUUGAGGACUUAAAGGUCAUAUGUGGAUAAACGAAUAAAGCUGUUCCACUGUUUUCAAGAAGAGGGAGGAGGCCUGACAAAUCUCCAGACUGAUCAGGAGUAAAAAAAAACAUGGUUGUUAAAUGCUGGCUUUUGUCUUAUGAUAAAUAAUGGAAUAUUCCAUCUGUUGUAUAACAGAGGAUAUAGAUGCUGUUAUAAAACAUACAUUAGUAUUGAAGUGUUGAAGGUUUCAAAGUGUGUGGACGUCUGAAAAAUCAUCUUUCAAAGUUACAAAAAAGACAACUGGUCGUAAAAACACACAUCUAUAAUGUAAACUAACUUUAACAACUGUACCUGUUAGACUAUGGCUAACUCUAGAUGGUCACACACAAAAGCCAGCAUGUUAAAAACCCAUCAAGUCUCUCUUUAAGAAGACCAUCAAAAUCUUAGACAGGAAACCUCCAUUUCCAUUAUUGCAAGAUAGUCAGGAAGUAUAAUAUUUUAAACAUUGAAAAUGUUAAAACCUGUACUGACAUCUGUCUUGUUUUAAAGUUUUAAAUGGGCUUGCCCCUCCAUAAUUGGUUACAUUUAUCAAAAAAUACCCCACAAUAUGAUUAAUACUAGAGCACAAACCAGAGGAGACUGUGAUGUACCGAGACGUAAAACCAAAUUCAGCCUUUUAAAAAAACAGUUAAACAUUGGUUAAAAACAAACCAGUCAUGAACACAUGAAUAAUCAGUUGCCUCAUUUGAUGCCCGUUCCCGGGGCUUUGGCCUCACCUUCCAUCCUGUUUUUAUAAAGUCACAAAAGUGUAUGUUUAGUAUGUAAAAUCUGUUUGUAAGUCAGUUCCUGUAGUCACCUGUUAACUGUUUUGUGACAUCCUGUAAUUUCAAAUCUUGUUGUUAUGUAAGUACCUGCCUUUGGACUACGGGUGAAAUUUAGCUAUUGUGUUAAUUCCGGCAUAUUUACAUUGAGGCAUACUGUUAAAAUGUUGAUUAAUGUGCAUUGUCCUAAUC